UCAAUCAACAUAUAUAAAAUGAACAUUGAUUCAGUCCAGAAAGGCAGGACAACUCAAGCAAAAGCAGGAGAAUUCAAAGCAACUUGAAGCAACUCGAAGUAGGAAGAGGGCUUCCAGGUCACAGACUGUUUGACCUCUGGUAACUAAAACUGCAGAAGGCAAAACUGGAUAAGGAGACUACUGUAAUGAUUAUGCUAUUACAAGACGCUCGAUUGCUAACAUCAGACAUUUUUAUAAAAGGAAGUGAAGCUAUGAGAUCCACAAUGUGAAUGUCACCCAACCAGAGGUGUUACUUUGUGCCAUGUACAACAUACACAACCAUAGGCCAGAAUCCUGCUAGGACAUCUCUGCCUGUGGAAGGAGGGCUGGAUGGCAUACUGGGAAUGGCUUUCUAGGAUGACUUCCUGUUGCUACAGACUACAAGAAGCAUUUCUGGCCUUGAUGUUGUCUGAAUGAAGAAGACAUAGGAGUUUCACCAAAGCCUACAGGAAUGAGGAAGCAGGAAGGGCCAGAGUGAAGUGGAAACUUUGAACUUGAAGUUGGAAGACACUGGUACUCAUCUCUUCUAUUUGCUAGCUGUAUGAUCUUGGGCAACUUAUUUAAUUUAUCUUCCUCCAGUUUACUCAUUGAUUAAAUGAAGGUAACAAUUUUAUCUCAUAGGGAUAUGGGGAUGAUCGAGAGAGAUAAUAAAAGUGAAAGUGUU
rnacentral:lncRNA from 1 species